CGGGUCCUUCAUGAUGAGAGAUUUUGGGGUGCUUCUUUCUCCUCUGUGUAGUUGAUAGUUUGGGUGGUGAAGAGAUGGCUGACAGUGUAAAAACCUUUCUCCAGGACCUUGGCAGGGGAAUCAAAGACUCCAUAUGGGGUAUUUGUACCAUCUCAAAGCUGGAUGCUUGAAUCCAACAAAAGAGAGAGGAGCAGCGUCGAAGAAGGGCGACUAGUGUACUGGCACAGAGGAGAGCCCAGAGAAUAGAGUGGAAGCAAGAGAGUGAGCCACGUAUUGUUAGUAGAAUAUUCCAGUGUUGUGCUAGGAAUGGUAGAGUAUUCUGGUUUAGUCUCCUCUUAUUUUAUCGAGUGUUUAUUCCUGUGCUUCAGUCAGUAACAGCCCGAAUUAUCGGUGGUCCAUCACUACAUGGAGAUGUUUGGUCAUGGCUGGAAUUCUUCCUCACAUCAAUUUUCAGUGAUCUUUGGUUGCUGCCCCUGUUUGUGCUUAGCAAAGUUGUGAAUGCCAUUUGGUUUCAAGAUAUAGCUGACCUGGCAUUUGAGGUAUCAGGGAGAAAGCCUCACCCAUUUCCUAGUGUCAGCAAAAUAGUUGCUGACAUGCUCUUCAACCUUUUGUUGCAGGCUCUUUUCCUUAUCCAGGGAAUGUUUGUGAGUCUCUUUCCCAUCCAUCUUGUUGGUCAGCUGGUUAGUCUCCUGCAUAUGUCCCUUCUCUACUCACUAUAUUGCUUUGAAUAUCAUUGGUUCAAUAAAGGAAUUGAAAUGCACCAACGGUUGUCAAACAUAGAAAGGAACUGGCCUUACUACUUUGGGUUUGUAUUACCCUUGGCUUUUCUCACAGCAAUGCAGUCCUCAUACAUUAUCAGUGGAUGCCUCUUCUCUAUCCUCUUUCCUUGAUUCAUUAUCAGCACCAAUGAAGCAAAGACUCCUGGCAAAGCGUACCUCUUCCAGUUGAGACUCUUCUCCUUGGUGGUCUUCUUAAGCAACAGACUCUUCCACAAGACAGUGCAUCUGCAGUCUGCCCUGAGCAGCUCAACCUCUGCAGAGAAGUUCCCUUCACUGCAUCCAUCUCCUGCCAAACUGAAGGCUGCUGCAGGCCACUGAGUUGCCUGCCACCCAAAGGGGAUGGGUGGGAUUGGAGGGAGGCUGUGGCAGCUCUGUUCCCUGCUUCAACACCAUCUGCCAGGGAAGGCAGGACCCACGCUGCCAAGGGACCUCUGCAUGUUCACUUCUCUCUGAGGAAUUGGAAAGUUUGUCUCUGGUGCACAUAAGGCAGAAUCUUCCUGACACCAGUGUGUGGAUUCUUAACACUACCAUGAGUCUGAAAGGACUACAGGUUUUGCUGCAGCUAUUUUCUAGCAUUUGCCAUCCCCUGUGCCUGGACUGAUUUGAAUACUUUGUUUUUUUCCCUGUGCCAUUUUACCCUCCCACCUUUCCUGCCUUCUACCACCCUUGGAUGAAUGAAUUUUAUAAUCCUAGCUGUUGUAUUUUGUGGAUUUGUUAUUUUUGUUGUUUUUUUGUGAAGCACAUAUGUUGGAUGUGGGAGGUAAGGGAGUAUCUCAGUUGCUCCUGGUCACUCCUUUUAUAGCCAUCACUGUCUUGUUUCUUGUAACUCAGGGUAGGUUUUGGUCUCCCUUGCUCCACUGCAAAAAAG